rnacentral:lncRNA from 1 species
UUCCUUUUGAUAUAUUUCUAGUAUUGUUUAAGUUGUGUACGAGAUUAGUCCCAAAUUUUGUACUCUAAAGUAUUAGAUGGUUUUGAGACAUCAUGUAUAAAGUCUAGAAAGUCUUCCGCUUGCUAUUUUUAAUUAAAUGUCUUCUUUGUAAAGAAAGUUUUUAAUUCCUUAUGGUUUUUAGUGUCUAUGCAAUGAAUGAAUG